GACGAACGCUGGCGGCGUGCUUAACACAUGCAAGUCGAACGGAAAGGCCCUGCUUUUGUGGGGUGCUCGAGUGGCGAACGGGUGAGUAACACGUGAGUAACCUGCCCUUGACUUUGGGAUAACUUCAGGAAACUGGGGCUAAUACCGGAUAGGAGCUCCUGCUGCAUGGUGGGGGUUGGAAAGUUUCGGCGGUUGGGGAUGGACUCGCGGCUUAUCAGCUUGUUGGUGGGGUAGUGGCUUACCAAGGCUUUGACGGGUAGCCGGCCUGAGAGGGUGACCGGCCCCAUUGGGCCUGGGAUGCGGCCCGGACUCCUCCGGGACGCAGCAGUGGAGUAUGUUGUACUAUGGGCGGAGGCCUGAUCUAGCACCGCCGCGUGCGGGAUGACGGCCUUCGGUUUGUAUACCGCUUUCGCCUGUGGCGAAGCGUGAGUGACGGUACUGGGUAAAGAAGCACCGGCUAACUACGUG
rnacentral:rRNA from 1 species